rnacentral:rRNA from 1 species
GAGGGGUAUAUGUCUUCGGACAUAGAGACCAGCGCACGGGUGCGUAACGCGUAUGCAAUCUACCUUUUACAGGGGAAUAGCCCAGAGAAAUUUGGAUUAAUGCCCCAUAGUAUAUUUGAAUGGCAUCAUUUGAUUAUUAAAGUUCCAACGGUAAAAGAUGAGCAUGCGUCCCAUUAGUUAGUUGGUAAGGUAACGGCUUACCAAGACGAUGAUGGGUAGGGGUCCUGAGAGGGAGAUCCCCCACACUGGUACUGAGACACGGACCAGACUCCUACGGGAGGCAGCAGUGAGGAAUAUUGGUCAAUGGGCGCAAGCCUGAACCAGCCAUGCCGCGUGCAGGAUGACGGUCCUAUGGAUUGUAAACUGCUUUUAUACAGGAAGAAACACUCCCUCGUGAGGGAGCUUGACGGUACUGUAGGAAUAAGGAUCGGCUAACUCCGUGCCAGCAGCCGCGGUAAUACGGAGGAUCCAAGCGUUAUCCGGAAUCAUUGGGUUUAAAGGGUCCGUAGGCGGCCCAGUAAGUCAGUGGUGAAAUCUCCCGGCUCAACCGGGAAAUUGCCAUUGAUACUGCUGGGCUUGAAUUAUCAGGAAGUAACUAGAAUAUGUAGUGUAGCGGUGAAAUGCUUAGAGAUUACAUGGAAUACCAAUUGCGAAGGCAG